UUUCUGCCACCGAAUACAUUAGCAUGGGAUAAUGGAAUAGGACCCUGUCCUCCUAUUUUCAGUUGGUUUUGGCAGCGCGAGGACUAGGGUAAUGAUUAAUAGGGAUAGUUGGGGGCAUUAAUAUUUAAUUGUCAGAGGUGAAAUUCUUGGAUUUAUGAAAGAUUAACUUCUGCGAAAGCAUCUGCCAAGGAUGUUUUCAUUAAUCAAGAACGAAAGUUAGGGGAUCGAAGACGAUCAGAUACCGUCGUAGUCUUAACCAUAAACGAUGCCGACCAGCGAUUAGGAGACGUUGAAUACAAAACACCACCAUCGGUUGCGGUCGUCCUUGGCGUCUCGGUUUCGGCCGGGGCGCGGGGAUGGCUUA
rnacentral:rRNA from 1 species